rnacentral:rRNA from 1 species
ACGGGACCGCACAAGCGGUGGAUGAUGUGGAUUAAUUCGAUGCAACGCGAAGAACCUUACCUACCCUUGACAUGUCCGGAACUUGCCAGAGAUGGCUUGGUGCCCGAAAGGGAAUCGGAACACAGGUGCUGCAUGGCUGUCGUCAGCUCGUGUCGUGAGAUGUUGGGUUAAGUCCCGCAACGAGCGCAACCCUUGUCACUAGUUGCCAUCAUUUGGUUGGGCACUCUAGUGAGACUGCCGGUGACAAACCGGAGGAAGGUGGGGAUGACGUCAAGUCCUCAUGGCCCUUAUGGGUAGGGCUUCACACGUCAUACAAUGGUCGGUACAGAGGGUUGCCAAGCCGCGAGGUGGAGCCAAUCCCAGAAAACCGAUCGUAGUCCGGAUUGCAGUCUGCAACUCGACUGCAUGAAGUCGGAAUCGCUAGUAAUCGCGGAUCAGCAUGUCGCGGUGAAUACGUUCCCGGGCCUU